rnacentral:rRNA from 1 species
GACGAACGCUGGCGGCGUGCUUAACACAUGCAAGUCGAACGAUGAACUUGGAGCUUGCUCUGGGGGAUUAGUGGCGAACGGGUGAGUAACACGUGAGUAACCUGCCCUGGACUCUGGGAUAACUUCGAGAAAUCGGAGCUAAUACCGGAUAGGACCUUGCACCGCAUGGUGUGGGGUGGAAAGUUUUUCGGUUUGGGAUGGACUCGCGGCCUAUCAGCUUGUUGGUGAGGUAAUGGCUCACCAAGGCGUCGACGGGUAGCCGGCCUGAGAGGGUGACCAGCCACACUGGGACUGAGACACGGCCCAGACUCCUACGGGAGGCAGCAGUGGGGAAUAUUGCACAAUGGGCGCAAGCCUGAUGCAGCAACGCCGCGUGCGGGAUGACGGCCUUCGGGUUGUAAACCGCUUUUAGUAGGGAAGAAGCCUCUUGGGGUGACGGUACCUGCAGAAAAAGGACCGGCUAACUACGUGCCAGCAGCCGCGGUAACAC